CCUACGGGAGGCAGCAGUGGGGAAUAUUGCACAAUGGGGGAAACCCUGAUGCAGCGACGCCGCGUGAGUGAAGAAGUAUUUCUGUAUGUAAAGCUCUAUCAGCAGGGAAGAAAAUGACGGUACCUGAUUAAGAAGCCCCGGCUAACUACGUGCCAGCAGCCGCGGUAAUACGUAGGGGACAAGCGUUAUCCGGAUUUACUGGGUGUAAAGGGAGCGUAGACGGCAGCACAAGUCUGGAGUGAAAUGCCGGGGCUUAACCCCGGAACUGCUUUGGAAACUGUGCAGCUAGAGUGCAGGAGAGGUAAGUGGAAUUCCUAGUGUAGCGGUGAAAUGCGUAGAUAUUAGGAGGAACACCAGUGGCGAAGGCGGCUGACUGGACUGGAACUGACGUUGAGGCUCGAAAGCGUGGGGAGCAAACAGGAUUAGAUACCCGGUAGUC
rnacentral:rRNA from 1 species